rnacentral:rRNA from 1 species
UCGAGGAUCUUCGGCAAUGGGCGCAAGCCUGACCGAGCGACGCCGCGUGCGGGAUGAAGGCCUUCGGGUUGUAAACCGCUGUCAGUGGGGAGGAAAUGCCGGUGGGUUCUCCCAUCGGUUUGACCUAUCCGCAGAGGAAGUGUGGGCUAAGCUCGUGCCAGCAGCCGCGGUAAGACGAGCCACACAAACGUUAUUCGGAAUCACUGGGCUUAAAGGGUGCGUAGGCUGCGCGGAAAGUGGGGUGUGAAAGCCCUCGGCUCAACCGAGGAAUGGCGCUCCAAACUACCGUGCUCGAGGAAGACAGAGGUAAGCGGAACUGAGGGUGGAGCGGUGAAAUGCGUUGAUAUCCUCAGGAACACCGGUGGCGAAAGCGGCUUACUGGGUCUUUUCUGACGCUGAGGCACGAAAGCUAGGGUAGCAAACGG